rnacentral:rRNA from 1 species
CCUACGGGGGGCAGCAGUGGGGAAUAUUGCACAAUGGGCGCAAGCCUGAUGCAGCCAUGCCGCGUGUGUGAAGAAGGCCUUCGGGUUGUAAAGCACUUUCAGCGGGGAGGAAGGCGGUGAGGUUAAUAACCUCAUCGAUUGACGUUACCCGCAGAAGAAGCACCGGCUAACUCCGUGCCAGCAGCCGCGGUAAUACGGAGGGUGCAAGCGUUAAUCGGAAUUACUGGGCGUAAAGCGCACGCAGGCGGUCUGUCAAGUCGGAUGUGAAAUCCCCGGGCUCAACCUGGGAACUGCAUUCGAAACUGGCAGGCUAGAGUCUUGUAGAGGGGGGUAGAAUUCCAGGUGUAGCGGUGAAAUGCGUAGAGACCUGGAGGAAUACCGGUGGCGAAGGCGGCCCCCUGGACAAAGACUGACGCUCAGGUGCGAAAGCGUGGGGAGCAAACAGGAUUAGAUACCCCUGUAGUC